rnacentral:rRNA from 1 species
GACAGCCGCUAUAUCACUCUGCAACUCACAACUGGCAGCCCACUGAAGCUCAGCAGGUGUGAGCCUGGCCAGUACCUGGAUGGGAGACCUCCUGGGAAAAACUAAGGUUGCUGCUGGAA